rnacentral:tRNA from 1 species
GGAACUGGCGGAAUUGGUAGACGCGCUAGAUUCAGGUUCUAGUGUUCGCAAGAACAUCCGGGUUCAAGUCCCGGGUUCCGCA